rnacentral:lncRNA from 1 species
GUAGGAUUUCAUUGAAAAUAAAACAGAGCCCAAAGAUCAAUAAAGGCCCAAAACACAAACAAUAAAAAAAUAAAAAAAACAAGAUUAUGAAGAGACGAAAAACCAAAGGACUAAGCAGAUAAACAUCACCCAACAAAGCAAUAAAUGAAACCAUAAAAAGCAACAAAAACCCAACCACCCAAGCAGACUGUUCAGAUUCCAAAGCAUCUAAAACAUAGACCUCUUCAGAUGCUCAUAUUGAAGCAAAGAAAAACCUCCACAAAUCUGCUGAAAAACCACAAAAACCUGAAGGGGUCCUUCCCAAUUCAACAAAAAAUUCCUCGCAAACACCAAACCUGAAAGAGACCCUUAAGUUGAAACUUCGAUUUCUUGACCAAAGAAGUGUAUCUUUGCCAUACAGAAGCUGAAUCUUCGCCUUAAGGUCACAAGGAGCACAAAUGUCGCAGAUCUGCCUCAACUGCCUUCUGCGCAAAGAGAGGAAUCCCUCCAAAAAGAUAAUUAUCAUCUCUUUUUAAUCCCUCUGUAGCCAAAGAGUGUGCUGCACCAUUUGCAUGUUUUGCUACGUGAUGGAAAACACAUUUUUGAUAUCAUUCACAUAUUGUCUUUAUGUUGAAAAUGUAAGCCCCUAUCACCGAUCUUUCAAUUCCUUCUGCUUUCAGUUUUCGGAUCACAGCCAAAGAGUCACCCUCAAUCUCUACUCUUGGAAAACCCAACUAUAAGCCCAUCUCUGCCGCCUCAACACACCAUCGCUUCCGCUGCAAAAGGAGAAGGUAUGUUGACAUGCAUUAUAGCUUUUGACCAAAGAACAAUACCGGAAUCAUCCCGCAAAAUAAUCCCUGAGCAUGAUUUGUUAUUUUGUUAACAAAAUCCUGCAUCAAAAUUUAUUUUGACAGAAUGUUUUUGUGCAGUUGCCAGUAAACAAGAGGAACCUGACAGGUAGUUGGUUUUUCCUUCAUACCAUCCACUUCGCCCAAAAUUUUUUUAUAAAGCUCAUAAUCUCUGAUGCUGUAGACUUUUGACUUUGAUGUAAAAGCCUAUUGCGCAUAGUCCAAAUCCCCCACAUUGCACAGCAGAACACAUGACAAAAAUACAUAGAGUUAUGGCCAAAAACUGGUGAACCCAAUCUAUAAUUGAUAUCUCAGUUGUCGCUGUUUGUCUCGCAAUACCAAGUUGACACCAAAUUUCCUUUGAAUGCAGGCAAACUUCUAAGGGUCACCGAACAACCUACUUUCCAUCCAAAACUUAAACCUCCUCUCGAACCUACUGCCCCCACAUCGACACCACAAAAAUGACCACAUUUCAACCGCACCUUUCCCAUCCUACUAGUAGAAAUUUUUGUCUCCAUGAAAAAGACAAGUUGAGUAUUGGGUAAUCGGGCCUGGGCCGUUUCUUACCCUCACCCACUUGAAUUGGAUUUUCCUCCAAAUCAUUUUCCAUAGUAUCGAAAAUCAAUCCACUAGAAUCACCAUCUUUUGGUAACUCGUUCCUUUUGGAAAGUCCUGCUAAAUUUACUCCUAAAAUAGGAUUAAAUUGCUGCCAAUUUCCUUGCCUUCUAUCGCCUCCAAUAUCACUCCUUGAAUUUCGACUUUCAUAAUUUUCGCCAAUAGAGACACCCACCCCUUCUUCUCGCAACCAGACACUUCUCCCCACGAACUCCCUCCUCGGCGGCGCUCUCAACGUAAGAUCCUAUCCUUGCGGCAUCUCUUCGCCACCAUAAUUGAGACGGAUUGGACAGAAACUAUCUCUAUGGCCUAAUACACCACAAACAAAGCAAAACAAGGAUAAUUUUGCAUUUAUAUGAAUUCAUAUUAAUUCACCUUUAUUGUAAACUAAUACCUAUUUAAAACAUUAUUAUAAGAAAAUUACAAAAUGAUUAAAUAUUAUUUUGAUUCAUACAUAUAACCAGUUUUAACAUAUAUAUUGAAUAAGUGUGGCCAUCACAUGUUGAUAUAUUGACUCUUGCAGCAAGGGAGGCUGUUGUCUUGGUAAUUGACAGUGUUUUUGUUUUUAAAAUCUUCAUGCUUAUGAUUUUGUAUGAAGUGUGUGAAUCAAUAGGCAGAUUGUUUGCGUUAUUUUGUACAAUCAUUUUUGUUGGCCAGGCAGGAAGAUGGAGUAACUGCUACUACAAUGAUCAAUUGCCAUCACCUUCUGAGCCUCUGCAAAACAUCACUGCCAAAUUCACAUCAAAGAUUCUUCCCCAAACAUCUCUAUUAAAAAAUUGUGGGUUAAAAAAUUGUGGGUUUAGGUUGCUUUUGAGUUCGAGUUAAUUUUAAGUUUGGGUUAUAUGGGUUCGGGUUAAUUUUGGAUUUAGGGUUAACUUCAAGUUUGAAUUGCUAUUUCAAGUUCAAAUCAUUUUGAUUCCAAAUUUUAAUUUAUCAAAUUUUCAAUUUCAUAUGUGGAAUUAAAUGUCUUCACCA